rnacentral:lncRNA from 1 species
GGGCAGCCGGGGCACCCAGGACGGGCAGACAAGGGAGACAGUCGGCCCGUCUCCGCGGCCCGUUCCCUCUCUCCCUCAAAUCCUUUUUUUCUUUUUAACACCCCCACCCCCCUCGCUCGCUCUCCUCUUCUCCCCUUACCCUUCGCUUGCUCCAUCGCGCGCGGCCCGCGCUAAUUACACCCAACCACCCACCAGUGUCCGUGUCUCCCGGGUCUUCCGCCCCCCGGGCCCGCGGGGGUGCGUGGGGGGGGGGCUCUCGCCCCUAUGAGGGCCCCGCGCCAGUGAGCGAGUGACCGCAAGGGUGGGCUGCGGAGAAAGCAGGCGGCGAGCGGCCCUCCGAGGCCUAGGCCGUGCGGCCUACGCGGAGGUCAGCGCAGAGGAACUAUGGAGGCCGCGCCCGGGACCCCCCCGCCGCCGCCAUCAGAGUCGCC